GACUCUCGGCAACGGAUAUCUCAGCUCUCGCAUCGAUGAAGAACGUAGCGAAAUGCGAUACUUGGUGUGAAUUGCAAAUUCCCGUGAACCAUCGAGUCUUUGAACGCAAGUUGCGCCUGAAGCUAUUAGACCGAGGGUACGUCUGCCUAGGCGUCA
rnacentral:rRNA from 1 species